AAGUCAUCUUAGUAACUUAUUGUAUUCCUCUCUACAUCUGGAUGAUAUUACAUAUAAAGGCAGUUAUCUACGUUACUGUCGCUGAAGUUACUGUAAUUACAUUGUAUGUACUGUAAUUAGAAUGUACAUUAGACUGCGUGUAACCUCUGAUGUAAAUAUGUUCUAACAUUGUGUUACCGACCCGAUUCAGCCGGACGCCGAACCGUGGUUGGGCAGCCUUAGGUAGCGCUAGCCCGCUUAGCUUAGCACGGCUCGUUAAUGGUAACAGCCAGAUAAUAGUCCGGACAAACUUUGCAGGGGGAGAACGAAGCAUUUUAUUGAACCGGCAGCAAACCGUCCACACUUACAGUUCAUCCAGCGUACACUGGCUUCCCACACUUGUCCUCUAUAACUGGCUGUAUCAUCAUGGUGCAUGUCGCUAUGCCUCCGCUUCCACACUCAUCCCUGCAACACACCACACCGCUGCAGCGCUCCUCCAAACAGUAACGUUACUGAGGUCUGAUAACCAUGACAUGAUCAUCACACUGAACCACAGAGCCUUGGUCUGGAUCAUUGGGAACAUCUAGUCUGAUAUGGACUGAGAGCUAUAGACAGCAUGAACAUCCAGCUGUGGUUGUCUGAAGAGUCUUCUCUCCUUCUUCAUCCCUGUGAGGAAGAGCAACACUGAUGUCCUCCUCAUUUAUUUCAGUAAAAACAAUAAUGCUGCA